ACUAACCUAACAAGGCAAGAGUAAACCCUAAAAAUUAGCACGUUCAAAAUGCGGCCGCCCUCCCUUCUUCCAGAGAAAACACGAUUCAAAAUAAAACUCUCUCUGCCAUGGUCGUGAUUCAAAAGCUUCAUCUUUACCUCCGAAUCAACACUCACUCUACCUCUCAAUCACUCUUUCUCUCAACCUCUCCUAAUCGUGCUCCUUCAAAAGAAGAUUGGUCAAACCAAGAUCUGAGAUUUCUAUGAACACAGAUAAACUCUCAACAAAACAGUUCCAAAAAAAAAACAAGUCCCUAACAAAUCGAUUACACAAAGGCACCCUCGCCCCCAAACAAACCGAUACCCCGACGUUCGUUCAGUCAUGCUCUUAUCAGUUACAAUCAUAGUGGAAGGAAACAGAGUAACAAAACAAUAGGUUUCAAGCAGUACAAAGAAAAAGAUUAAUAAGUUUCAACAUUACAAGAAAAAAGAUUAAUACCCUCACGAAGCACAGAUCUAAGCGAGUUCCAGGUAACCUAAUCUUCGCAACUUCCUUUUCUUCCUAGUAUGCUUGCUGUCUUGGUUGUUGUGGUUAUGCAGAAGGCCAAAAUGUGUAAGUUGUUUUCUGCUUGCUCAAAAUGUUAGGGUUUGGUGGUUGAUAAAAUUUUCUAUCCUUUUUUUUUUUCAACUAGGUUCUUCCUCCUUGGUUUUUAUGUUAGAUUUUUUUUUAAGGUGUGAUGUUGAUGCAUAAAAUGAUGCAUCUGAUCCAACUUUUCAAGAGAUAAACUUUUUUUUUGUUAUUUUGAUAUAAACUUUAUUUUUGUUAUUUUGUUAUUUUGAUAAACUUUUUUCCUGUAAACGUGUUAAGUUGCUGCUCUGCUAUCACUGCUAUCACUGCCUAUACAUGACAAAUCUCUGCUUGGGAAGAAACAAAGCAACAGAGGGAGGCAAGAUGACAACAGAUCCAUGAAGAUAAACAGAGGGAGGUAUUUCUGUGUUCACUAUGUACUUUUACCAUUAAAAAAAAAAAAUAUAUUUUUGUUAUUUAGUUACUGUAACAUAAAAAAUAAACUUUAACUAGAAGACUUUUUUUUAAAAAAAUAUUUUGUUUCUUUUUUCUUGUGAUAUAGACAAAACGUAGCAUAAAACUAAUUUUUAAUUUUUUUUUAAAAUAAAAUAAAAUAAAAAUAAUUUAAUUAUAAAUGUCACAAAAUAUUCAAAUAAAUUUAAAUGAAAUGAGUAAAUUGUAAAAACAAAUUAAAAUUAUAAAAUAAAAUGUAAAAUAAAAUGUAAAUAAAAUGUAAAACAAAUUUAGAAGAAAUUUUUUUUUAUCAUUAUCAUUUUUUUAAAUUCAUAUCUUAAUUUGUGAAACAAAAAUUUAUUUGUCAAUACUUAUUUAAGCAUAACAUAAAACUUACUUGCUAGAAAUUUAAAAAUAAUAUCAAGCACUUAAUGUAAUGCAACAAAUGUUGAUUAUGGGCAUGUGGUGCACAUGAAUAUGGAUGCUUGUGAAUGAAAAUCAUAUUUUUUUUAUGUGAAUUGGUAAAAUAGAAAAAAGUUCUAAUGAAAAUUAAAUUAAUGAUAUUAAAAUGAAAUUAAAAAAAAGGAAUAAUGUAUGAAUAUGCAUGCUUAUGAAUAAAGAUCAUGUUUUUUAUGUGAAUUGGUAAAAUAGAAAAAAGUUCUAAUGAAAAUUAAAUUAAUGAUAUUAAAAUGAAAUUAAAAAAGGAAUAAUGUAUGAAUAUGAAUGCUUAUGAAUAAAGAUCAUGUUUUUCAUGUGAAUUGGUAAAUAGAAAAAAUUCUAAUAAAAAUUAAAUUAAUGAUAUUAAAAUGAAAAAAAAAAUGGAAUAAUUUAUGUCAAUGAGUGGAUGCAAAUUGAUAAAUACAAAUGCUUGAAAUGUAAAUGAAU
rnacentral:lncRNA from 1 species